GACGAACGCUGGCGGCGUGCUUAACACAUGCAAGUCGAACGGAAAGGCCCUGCUUUUGUGGGGUGCUCGAGUGGCGAACGGGUGAGUAACACGUGAGUAACCUGCCCUUGACUUUGGGAUAACUUCAGGAAACUGGGGCUAAUACCGGAUAGGAGCUCCUGCUGCAUGGUGGGGGUUGGAAAGUUUCGGCGGUUGGGGAUGGACUCGCGGCUUAUCAGCUUGUUGGUGGGGUAGUGGCUUACCAAGGCUUUGACGGGUAGCCGGCCUGAGAGGGUGACCGGCCACAUUGGGACUGAGAUACGGCACAGACUCCUACGGGAGGCAGCAGUGGGGAAGAUUGCACAAUGGGCUGAAGCCUGAUGCAGCAAAGCCGCGUGCGGGAUGACGGCCUUCGGGUUGUAAACCGCUUUCGCCUGUGACGAAGCGUGAGUGACGGUAAUGGGUAAAGAAGCACCGGCUAACUACGUG
rnacentral:rRNA from 1 species